rnacentral:lncRNA from 1 species
AUGACAUGUGGCUACCGAGUCAUAUCCGGAUCCGGUGCACGUGAUAUAAAGGUCACGUGACAUCACGUUCGGGUUUAGUAUAAGUGAAUAUUUGAACUCGUGCGAGUCGAGUUUGCAGGACUCAAUAUUGUUGUUUAUUAUCAGUAUUUCUUUAUAUCCAUACGGAUGGAUUCGUACAGUCUGAAAACCGACUACUAUUUCGUCUACAACUAAAAGAUUACUUCUACUGCUGUAACAGGAUAAACCCUUGAGUGAAUAAAUAGUUGAGUUUAA